GUAUCAUGAGAGCAAGGGAGACUGAAGGUACUGAGUCGGCAGAAAGGCUACACGAGGCUGACAGCGUGAUUUACGGACUUAAAUUACUCUGCUCAAAAGAGAAGGAGCGUGUGAAAUAUUUGAAUAGAAUUAGUAAAACCUGACUGGAGUUCCUUAUUAAGAUAGAAAUGCAAUGAUUUAUCAAAGUUGGAAGGAAGUUUGCCAGUGACAUUCGAAGUGUAUGAUAACCUAGUUGUAGAACUAAAUUCAGUUCAGGGUAAGAACUGGAUUAUUUUUACCAACCAUGGGCUCACUGUGUAGUCCAGGCUAACCUCAACUUGCUAAGUGCUAGGGCAUGACCUGUUAUUCUUAGCUAGCAGUUGAAGCCACAGGCUCUUUUGAAAUGCCAAGUGAGGGACACAAGCUGAGACAGAGCAGGGCGUCUUUAAAGGAUUUAGUGAGACCACAGAAGAAUGCCCUAGGAACUGGAAGAAAGAUGUAGGGAGAGGCAGUGUCACUGAAGACAGAAGUUACUGGAGAGAAGGCUGUGAAAUAUCAAGUACGACUGAAUGAUGGACUACUUUAAAGACAGCCAGUUGACUCUGACACUGCUGGCCCUCCUGAAAGCCAUUUGGUUACAGUGGUUUGGACAAGUUAGGUGACAUUGAAUUGGAGCUGAUUAUGAGGCGCUGGGUAGACUCUGGCAGCCCAGUGGAGCAGAGGAGAGGUUGUAAGAUUGGAAUGGAAGUUCUUUCCAUGGUAAGGAUUUUUGAUGCAGAAUAAAACAAGUCAUUUUUAAACCAGCAAGACGUGUCUGGUACAGUACGUAGUGCACAUGUACAUAAUCCACAUGGAGCUCACACUGUGGCACGCGUCUGCUAUUUUAGCAUUGGAGACUCAGGCUGGGAGGUCACAAGUCCUAGACCAUCUUGUACUACAUGGCAAAUCCCAGGUCAGCAUGAACUAUGUUGUUAGUUUACAGAGUAUUAGAUCUCAUUAUGACAUUCCCCUGCCCUUCAUACCCCUGAGCCCCAUAGGUGCCAUGUGUGCCAUCCCGUUUGCUCAAAACCUCUUGUCCCUUUCUUGUGGCUGCCAUAUGGUUUCACGGCCUGUAUCCAUUCUCACACACACUUAAAUAUGAACAUACAUACAUACAUACCAACUUUAAACAGUUAGGAUCUGCUUAUGAGGAAAUGUGGGUUUUUGUCUUUUUGAGUCCAUGUUAUCUCACUUAAUAUACUUUUCCAGAUCAAUUUAUCUUCAUGAAAAUUUAUUAUUUCCUUUUUCUUGACUGCUGAAUAAAAUCUGAUUGUGUGCAUAUACCUCAUUCGCACUAUGCGGUCGGUCAUGUGUUGAUGAGCAUCUGGACUGGUCUGGUUCACUGUAGUGUGGAGGUAGCAGCAGUAGACAUAGAUGUGCAGUGUCCCUGGUAAGGUAUGUGGUGGGUCCUUGCAGAUGGCCCAGCAGUGGCUCAGCUGGGUCUAUGCUGCUUCUCAUCUUAGUGUCUGCCAAGCCUCCGUACUGAGUCCACGCUCCCACUGCAGUGAGGGAAGCUUCCACCUUCCCUACUUCCUCACCACACCCGACAUCUGUGUCGGGACCUCAGCCAUCCUGGCUGGGGAGAGGGACUCAGAGUUUGCACUUUGUUGUUGGCUAAGCAUGGCUGAUAUUUCAAACUCUUUAUUAUCUAUUCGAGGUUCUUCUUUUGAGAACUGUUUAUUUCACUGGCCCAUUUAUUGGUUGACACUUUGGGUGUGGGGUUGAAUUUUUGUACUUCUUUAUUUAGAUUUCAACCCUGUUUGAGAUAGAAGUCAUAGAAAAGAAUUGCUCCCGUUCUGUAAGCUGUCAGCUCACUCUGCUCAUCGUUCCCUUUGCUCUGCACAACUCAUGUCCUGUAGACUCCAGUGUUCAUUCCCACUAGCCUGGGCUACCUCUUCAAACAACACAGGAGCCAUGAAGAUGGCUCAGGUUAAAAGCACAGGCUGCUCUUGCAGUGAACCCUGGGUUCCAUUCCCAGCAGCCACAUGGCAGCUCACUACUGUCUCACUCCAAUUUCAGGGGAUCCAGUGCCCUCUUCUGGCUUCUAUAGAAAUGGGGUUUCUCAUUGAUGCUCACACAUACAUACAGACCAAACACCUAUACAAAGUUG
rnacentral:lncRNA from 1 species